GACGGCGGCGCCGGACCCACACCGCCGCCUGCGCCAGGGCUCCUGCCGCCGCCCUCCCUCGACCCUGCGCCAGUUUCCGCCUCGCCGUCCCCGCUUCAGCCGGCACGUCAGCCGCCGCUGACCCCCAUCGUCAAGUACACGGGCAUUUCUUGCGGCCUGUUCGUGGCUGGGUGCUUUCUUGGCUCGGCUGCCGCAGGAUCGGGUGACGCCACAGUUUAAUCACCAUUUUCUUGGCUACGUUCUUCGAAUUGGUGUACCUGUUGCCUUGUUGGGAAGAUGGAUUGCGUGCAAGCUCGCGAGCCCUCCAAUUAAGUUCAUGCAUGAUAAGUAUUUCCUUGGGGGAUAUAUAGUACUACACUCAAGCUAAAAUUUCUAUAUAUUAUGCACAAUAACUAUGAGAAAUUCAUUCACCUUGAAACUCUACUUCUUCCAGGGAAAGAAAUUACAAAAAUAGUCAUGAUAGAACUAAUGGUACAAGGUUAAUGGAUGCAAAAGACACAGGUUACUGAAAAGUUGGGCUAGAGUAUAUGUAUGGAAAGAUCAGAUACAAACAAUUAGGCUAGGUAGUAGUAACAAAUUAUAUGCUCAAAUUGGAGACCUGCUCUGUACCCCAGAUCAGUUUGUAUGUAAGCUUGGUAGAUUUUGUCUUUGGACUCUAUCAUAGACGAAUCACAGCUAUGAGUGUUCUUUUGAUGGAUGAUAUUGUGCUUUGAUAUAUUUGAUAUAUUUGAUAUUGUGAUUUUGUUCUAA